CUUUUCCCUCUCUUUUUUCCCUCCCCCUCCCUUUUUUCGUAGGGUAGUUGAAGCAGUGCGACUGACUCUAUUUAAACAGAACUAGGAAAUUUCUUGCGUAUUGGUGUUUGGAAGAUACACAUAAAUGGUUGAUUACCGUCUUGGCAAAGCAGUCAUGGAAGCAGCUCUCACUGGUCGUGGAACUAGCAAUGUCCCUUGACACAAACAACCCAAAGGCGACAGGAGUGGGCGCAUUUGAAGCGAUCGGGAGGAAGAGGUCCUAUUUGCAGCCUUCAAGGAGCUUGUUGCGCAAGGGUGGAAGUCCGACAACGAAUUUCGGGCUAGGUACCUUAAGAGGCGGAGAGUUACCUACAACAAAUAUUAAGGUUACUCCCAACAUUACAUCUAAGCUCUGUGCAUGGAAAAAGAGCUACUCCACUCUGUAGACUAUACUUUCACUGAUGAAUAAUGAGCUCACAUUGUGAAGGUUGAUGCUAAUGCAAAGCUUAUGCGAAACAAAUCGUGGCCAUAUUUGGAUGCAUGGAAGGAAAUUUUUGGCAAGGACAGAGCCAAUGGGGCAGCUGCCGAGGAAUACUCGAUGCAAUAAAUGAUAUGCAACAAAUCUAUAGCUCUACCGAAUUCUUCCCGGCCAGCCAAGUCCCCAAUGCUUCAUCACCCCAUGGGGAAUUUGACAGUGUUUUCAGUACUCCGCAUGAGACUCUUUGUGAGACUCCCACUAACAAGUCUCAAAGCAAGGUAAUGUCUGAGAUGAAUGGCAUGGUGGAGAUGCUUGCAAAAAUGCACACUGCUACUAACGAGCGCCUUGAGCUCUUAGCAUCUCAUAUUGGAUACAAGUUCGAUCUCACUAAGGCACACAAGGAAGUGUUUGAUCUUGUUGGUGUUAUACCGGGGCAGACAAUUAGGCAACAAUUCAUGGCAUGUGGGUUCAUACUACAAAAAGUGGAGCAUAUGGACUUCUUUAUGUCUCUGCUUGCUGCCGCAAAACAGGAGUAUGCGAUGAUGGUUUUGGAGGAUAAACCACCAAACUGAAUGUUGGAAUGUUGAACUACUUAGAAACUUUAUCUAUUUUGCUUUUUGGGCUGCCUGUAUGGCUCCCUCUUCAUGCAAGUUUAGCUCUUUUAAGCAUGUUGAUAAGGGU